rnacentral:rRNA from 1 species
CUGACCUACGGGGGGCAGCAGUGGGGAAUAUUGCACAAUGGGGGGAACCCUGAUGCAGCGACGCCGCGUGACUGAAGAAGGCCUUCGGGUUGUAAAGAUCUUUAAUCGGGGACGAAUUUUGACGGUACCCGAAGAAUAAGCUCCGGCUAACUACGUGCCAGCAGCCGCGGUAAUACGUAGGGAGCAAGCGUUAUCCGGAUUUACUGGGUGCAAAGGGCGUGUAGGCGGGCAUGCAAGCCAGAAGUGAAAUCUGGGGGCUUAACCCCCAAACUGCUUUUGGAACUGCGUGUCUUGAGUGAUGGAGA